rnacentral:rRNA from 1 species
UGCGAAUGGCUCAUUAUAUAAGUUAUCGUUUAUUUGAUAGUACCUUACUACUUGGAUAACCGUGGUAAUUCUAGAGCUAAUACAUGCUAAAAAUCCCGACUUCGGAAGGGAUGUAUUUAUUAGAUUAAAAACCAAUGCCCUCUGGGCUCCUUGGUGAUUCAUGAUAACUCUUCGAAUCGCACGGCCUUGCGCCGGCGAUGGUUCAUUCAAAUUUCUUCCCUAUCAACUUUCGAUGUUUGGGUAUUGGCCAAACAUGGUUGCAACGGGUAACGGAGGGUUAGGGCUCGACCCCGGAGAAGGAGCCUGAGAAACGGCUACUACAUCCAAGGAAGGCAGCAGGCGCGCAAAUUACCCAAUCCCGAUUCGGGGAGGUAGUGACAAUAAAUACUGAUACAGGGCUCUUUUGGGUCUUGUAAUUGGAAUGAGUACAAUUUAAAUCUCUUAACGAGGAACAAUUGGAGGGCAAGUCUGGUGCCAGCAGCCGCGGUAAUUCCAGCUCCAAUAGCGUAUAUUAAAGUUGUUGUGGUUAAAAAGCUCGUAGUUGAACCUUGGGCCUGGCUGGCCGGUCCGCCUCACCGCGUGCACUGGUCCGGCCGGGCCUUUCCCUCUGUGGAACCCCAUGCCCUUCACUGGGCGUGGCGGGGAAACAGGACGUUUACUUUGAAAAAAUUAGAGUGCUCCAGGCAGGCCUAUGCUCGAAUACAUUAGCAUGGAAUAAUGAAAUAGGACGCGUGGUUCUAUUUUGUUGGUUUCUAGGACCGCCGUAAUGAUUAAUAGGGACAGUCGGGGGCAUCAGUAUUCAAUUGUCAGAGGUGAAAUUCUUGGAUUUAUUGAAGACUAACUACUGCGAAAGCAUUUGCCAAGGAUGUUUUCAUUAAUCAGGAACGAAAGUUAGGGGAUCGAAGACGAUCAGAUACCGUCGUAGUCUUAACCAUAAACUAUGCCGACUAGGGAUCGGACGAUGUUAUUUUUUGACGCGUUCGGCACCUUACGAGAAAUCAAAGUGC